CACUCACAUCCUCAAUAGCAACUUCCCUUCGUGCUGUUGCGAGAUCCAAUUUAUUUCCCGCUACAACUAUAGGUACUUCCUGUCACAAAGGAGUAAAACAAAAAUCAAAGGAUUGUAUACUCUAUCAUUUGAAAUGCAGUUAUGGUAUUAUAUACGCAUAUUUAUCGCUCUAAUACCUGAAAAUCCGGCCUUUGUUCUCGGACUUCCUCAAAACAUCGUUUGACGCAUUCGAAACUUGGUAGUGAAGUGGUGGCAUAAACCAAAAGGAAGGCAUGAGCUGUCGCUAUGCUCAGCCUUCUCAUGGCCGGAAAUUGUGCUGGAUCAAUCUGAUGUGCAACCAGCUAUUUAUAAGUGGCUUACCAAUUGAAGUGUAAAAGCGAUGAAAGUGACACAAGUGAUUAAGCACAUUUUGCCAUUACUGAAAUAAGGAACAAAAAAAAAGUAAGAAAAGAUUCUUCAACGACUAAAAGCGGCCAUUUCUUUGACAAGCGAAAAGCAGA